rnacentral:rRNA from 1 species
AAAAGAAACUAACAAGGAUUCCCCUAGUAACGGCGAGUGAAGCGGGAACAGCUCAAAUUUUAAAUCUGGCUGCUUUGUAGUCCGAGUUGUAAUUUGAAGGAGUCUUGCCGCUGGCAAAAUGAUGGCACAAGUCCUCUGGAACGGGGCAUCGUAGAGGGUGAGAAUCCCGUCUCUGGUCAUCACGCGCUGGCAUACGGCAGGCAUCCGAAGAGUCGAGUUGUUUGGGAUUGCAGCUCCAAAUGGGUGGUAAACUCCAUCUAAGGCUAAAUAUUGGCGAGAGACCGAUAGCGAACAAGUACCGUGAGGGAAAGAUGAAAAGAACUUUGAAAAGAGAGUAAAACAGUACGUGAAAUUGUUGAAAGGGAAACGAUUGAAGUCAGUCAUGCCGGCGUUGGAUUCAGCUUGCUUCGCGGAGCUUGCGCAUUUCCUCGCAUGGCAGGUCAGCGUCAGUUUUGCGCGGCGUGAAAAGGCUCGGGUAAGGUAGCUCUCUUCGGGGAGUGUUAUAGACCUGGGCAAAUGCGCAGCGCGGGACUGAGGAUUGCAGCG